UCUACACUACCACACUAUUACUCAAAGCAGGGACAGGACAAAGGAACAAUUUCUUGCACACAAAUGCAUUCUGGAGGUCAGUUAAUUUAGGACAAUUAAGUACUAUUUAAAUGAAAGAAAAUCUAUAUUUAGUGGGGAAAAGCAAAUGUGGCACAGUGUUAACACUGGUGAUUACAGGUCUACUCCAACUUUAAGUUUGAAAUUGUUUCAAAAUAAAAUGUUAAAGAACAUGUAUCAGCAG
rnacentral:lncRNA from 1 species